GUUUGAUCCUGGCUCAGAUUGAACGCUGGCGGUAUGCUUAACACAUGCAAGUCGAACGGCAGCACAGCAGAGCUUGCUCUGUGGGUGGCGAGUGGCGGACGGGUGAGUAAUACAUCGGGACCUACCCAGACGUGGGGGAUAACGUAGGGAAACUUACGCUAAUACCGCAUACGUCCUACGGGAGAAAGCAGGGGAUCUUCGGACCUUGCGCGGUUGGACGGACCGAUGUUCGAUUAGCUUGUUGGUGAGGUAAUGGCUCACCAAGGCGACGAUCGAUAGCUGGUCUGAGAGGAUGAUCAGCCACACUGGGACUGAGACACGGCCCAGACUCCUACGGGAGGCAGCAGUGGGGAAUAUUGGACAAUGGGCGCAAGCCUGAUCCAGCAAUACCGCGUGUGUGAAGAAGGCCUUCGGGUUGUAAAGCACUUUUAUCAGGAACGAAACGCUGUCGGUUAAUACCCGGCGGAACUGACGGUACCUGAGGAAUAAGCACCGGCUAACUUCGUGCCAGCAGCCGCGGUAAUACGAAGGGUGCAAGCGUUAAUCGGAAUUACUGGGCGUAAAGCGUGCGUAGGCGGUUUGUUAAGUCUGUUGUGAAAUCCCCGGGCUCAACCUGGGAAUGGCAAUGGAUACUGGCAAGCUAGAGUGUGAUAGAGGAUGGUGGAAUUCCCGGUGUAGCGAUGAAAUGCGUAGAGAUCGGGAGGAACAUCAGUGGCGAAGGCGGCCAUCUGGAUCAACACUGACGCUGAGGCACGAAAGCGUGGGGAGCAAACAGGAUUAGAUACCCUGGUAGUCCACGCCCUAAACGAUGCGAACUGGAUGUUGGUCUCAACUCGGAGAUCAGUGUCGAAGCUAACGCGUUAAGUU
rnacentral:rRNA from 1 species